UAGGCUGAAACAAGAAAAAUAAAAAUCAAAGUAUCUGUGGCGUUUUUGGGGGGUAGAAUGAACAAAUGAUCGAAAAUAAUAAGAGAUGAAAGCAACAUAAAACUCGCAAGACUUUUCAGUUCUUUCUUUUUCUUUUUUACUUUUCAUUUUUUUUGAGUUGACGUAAGUUUUUUUUCUUUUAACACUUCAAAUACAAUAUAAUGAAUUCAAGAAGAAUAAAAUACAACUUGAUUUUUUUUGAUUUUUUAUUUUUUUUC
rnacentral:lncRNA from 1 species